GAAUGUUGUAAUAGAGAGAUCCUAAUUGCUUUAAGACCACCGCAUAAAAGAGACAUUUCCUCCUCAUUCACUUCCCUCAACGCACAAAUUUGCAGACUUUCCGAGAAGAAAAACAAAAGUUUAAUAACUAAAAAUAAAAAGACAAUUUUCACCGUCAAUUCUCUGAAGGAAAAUAUUGUCCGAUCAUUCUUUUCAUAUCCCUCUUUCUUCAUUGCUCUGAUCAGACAUCAAAACCAAACAAAGAGAAACCACUUGGGGCUGUCUGUAAAAUUCCAGAGAUCAUAAAUGGAUGCUACAACUAGUGGAACUCAAUCUUUACAUUGUCAUAACUUACCGGAUCAACCAGUUUCCUCUGCUGCUGCUUCUCCUCCUGUGACUCCAUUUCAGAGGCAGAAACGCCAAUGCUUUGGAGACUCAACUCCCGGAGAGUUUCCUUUAGCAGCUAACCCUUCCAUUGUCCUUCAUGUUCUCACUGAAUGUAGAUUGAAUCCUCGUGACCUCGCCAAUCUCGAGGCAACAUGCUCCUUCUUUAGCCAGCCAGCAAACUUUGCACCGGACUGUAGUUUAUCACUACCCGAGCUCGCCGCUCUCGACAUGUGUAAUAAAAGAAUGAUUUUCAAACCGAUGAGUGAACAAGAACGUGAAGAAAUGAAACGUAGAUGCGGAGGUUCAUGGAAACUAGUCCUUAGGUUUUUGCUGGCUGGAGAAGCGUGUUGUCGAAGAGAGAAGUCUCAAGCCAUUGCUGGUCCUGGUCACAGCAUUGCCGUCACAUCAAAGGGACAGGUUUAUACCUUUGGUCACAAUAACUCUGGUCAGCUAGGACAUGGCCAUACCGAUGAAGAAGCUCGGAUACUACCCAUCAGGUCAUUGCAGGGAACCAUAAUCAUCCAAGCGGCAGCUGGUGCUGGUCGGACAAUGCUGAUAAGCGAUAAUGGGAGUGUUUACUCCUGUGGGAAAGAUUUGUUUGGUGAAGCUGAGUACGGAGGGCAAGGAGGGUCUAGACAAGUUACGACUCCUCAGCUUGUGACAUCUUUAAAGAACAUAUUUGUUGUGCAAGCGGCGAUAGGGAAUUUCUUUACUGCUGUUCUGUCGCGAGAAGGGAAGGUUUAUACAUUCUCUUGGGGCAGCGAUGGUAGACUCGGUCAUCAAACCGAGGCUAAUGAUGUUGAGCCACGUCCUUUGUUAGGUUCGUUAGAGAAUGUACCCGUUGUGCAGAUUGCUGCUGGUUAUUGCUACCUUCUUGCCUUGGUUUGUCAACCAAAUGGCAUGUCGGUUUAUUCGGUUGGUUGCGGUUUGGGAGGCAAGCUCGGUCACGGGUCGAAAACCGAUGAGAAGUAUCCUCGUGUUAUCGAGCAGUUUCAGCUACUGAACUUUCAACCUAGGGUAGUUGCAGCUGGUGCUUGGCAUGCAGCGGUGGUAGGUCAAGAUGGAAGAGUGUGUACUUGGGGUUGGGGAAGAUACGGUUGCUUAGGACAUGGUAACGAGGAGGGUGAGUCAGUUCCUAAGGUCGUUGAAGGGCUAAGCCAUGUCAAGGCGGUUCAUGUCGCAACGGGAGACUACACUACUUUUGUGGUCUCGGAAGAUGGAGAUGUGUACUCUUUUGGUUGUGGUGAAUCUGCUAGUCUCGGUCACCAUACAGCCGUUUUUGAACAGCGUGAUCGGCAAGCUAAUGUGUUGAGUCCAGCGGUAGUAACAUCGCUGAAACAAGUGAAAGAGCGGGUGGUUCAGAUUAGUUUAACGAACUCGAUAUACUGGAACGCUCAUACGUUUGCACUCACGGAAUCAGGGAAGUUAUUUGCGUUUGGUGCGGGAGAUAAGGGUCAGCUCGGAGCAGAGCUCGGUCGUGACCAAACAGAGAGGUGUGUACCUGAAAGAGUGAAUAUCGAUCUCAGUUAGCGGUUGCAUUGUUUGUUGGCAGGAAAUUCGCAGUUUGACGUUAGGAAAACGUAAGGAAAUUGCGUUUUUUAACCUUGUCGGAAGUUUGUACAAAGGGGGUGGGACAUAAGGAUGACACCUGUCCCCUUCGGAUGAAACUCACUGUUUCAUUAAGUGAUAUGUUCCGGCAUGAUUUGGGCCUAUUUAAUUACACGUACAUUUUGACGUGUUUUUGGGCUUGGAAAUCAGGUGCGUUACGUUUCCCUGUGUACAAAGCUCGAUAGCCCAAUAGAGUAAACCCUAAUUGUGUUCUACGUGAAGAAAUGGAAUGUUAGUGUUUUGUCUCUCAUUUAUUUUCGUCUCUCUUCUUUGUUCUGUGGAGACUGCUGAACUUCAUCCCUAAAUCUGAAACGGUCCGAGUUAUGUGUUCUUCAUGUUUAAUCUCUAUUAAUUCAAUUAACCACGAUGAGGCUUUGAAUGUGUGCUUAGAUUCGUUGAGUAAUUGUAUCUGCGAGUAUAAAUAGGUGAUACUCAUGCCAGCCACCGUCUCACCGCGUACAUGCAUCUUUUGAAAGCGAGUUCAAUAUACUCCUUGAGCGGAUUUGAUAUGACUCGGUUCAGUCAGAAUUUCAGACAUGUUCAUCAUAGUUGUGGAGUCAUGAAGUAUCACUUUUCAGGAACGUUCAUUCUCCCCACUUUUGAUAUGGUAGAACAAAAAUAUGUGACAGCUGAGGGUACUGAAUGAUAGUUGUCCUUGAAAGCAAAAUUCUCAAACCCCCAAAAGCUGGAGCCAAAGCUUCUAAAGAAGCAAUAGAAAUGUGGACAGAAGUUUCUCUAGUUUAAUUGUGGCUGCAAAAGACCAAGACCCAUGGAAUUUAGUUAUAUUAUUGCAACUGCUAUCCUACUCUACUCUCUUUGCAAUAUAUGAUCAAUAAUAAAAGAACCUUCAGCAAGGAAACCUGGCCAUCAAUCUGCAAAUAACAGCACCGUCCGUGGCUACAGGAAUAUCAGGUAUUUUUGUCCCAAUAGAUAAGUGGUGGAGAGGUGUUGUUGUUAAAAACUGGAAUACGCCUAAAAUGCAGUUGCUUCCAUCAACAACUCACCCUCACAUGCACAUGAGCUAUUUUGGAAGCUACGUUAUUAGCGGCAUCACAAUCUCUACGACUUGAUUCUUUUCUCUAGACGUGAUUCUUAUCUCCAUACCUCAUUAUCAUUUUCAAUAACUGAGGUUUGUUGUUUGAUCUUUGUUUCAAAAGGUAUUUGUAUUUGUUUACUGUUGAGAAAUACGUUACACAUUCAUGUUUAUAUCAAGCUGGCAGAUUCUUCCGUCAA